rnacentral:lncRNA from 1 species
AACUGUAGCAGCCUUGAUUUACCAGCUGCCGCUGAGAGGAGAGGGUGGUGAUCAGAUGUGAGCCAAGUUGAAAACCUUGGUGCUUUCCAGGGGGGAAAAAAAGUGACUGUGCGUGGCUUCAAGCCCCGCCCCGCCUGAGGAGUUCCCAUCCUGGAGAGAAGAAGCCUGAAUCGCAUUAUAUUUCUUCUUGGCCAGAGAUGAGCCUUCUUCAUUUCAAACAUCCAUAUCCCUUGCCUGCUCCUCAAGAGCAGCUGUUCAAGAUGAAAACGAGAGAUGCCCCUAGAGUUUUGAGAGACUUGUGAUGGGAAGGAAAGGUUUUACCCUGCGGUUCCAUCCUGUGACUCCAAAAAAGUAUAUAUUUGAAAGCUCCCAGCGAUACAGAUUACACAGAGGUUAAAUGUAUGAUUCUUUUGGGGACCUGAUAUUUCUUAAAAUGUGUUUAAAGAAAAAAAUGACACCUUUAAAAACCAAAACCCAUUUGUUCUCAGGGCUGCAAAACUGAGAAAGAUGGAAGCCUCCCUGGGAACGGAUGAAAAUUGCAGGCUGUUUGUGCAAAUGGCAACACCUUGGGUUGAUUGCACUUUUGUGACUUUGUCUUGGGGUCUGCAUUCUGCAGAUAAGGAAGCUGAGGCCAGAGCUCAGAGCUGCAAAAUUGGGGCUGAAAUGAAGAUUGCCUGACUUCAGGGUUGAAACGUUCCCUGAGUGUCACAUUGUGAGACCCUUUCUGUGUGGAUUUCCUAGACAGCUGGAACUCUCUCUCUCCCUACCUUCCUCUCUGUUUUUGGACUAGCCCAGAUAGGUGGUCAGCAGCCUUCUGGCACACUCUUUCUCCUUCCUGGUGGAAUUUUAUCUACAGAAGAUGCAUAGAUAAAGACAAAACUUGGCUAAAGGAGCUGGCUUCCGGGCUUUGGAGAAAACACCCACCAAAUUUCAAAGAGUAAUGAUCUUGAAUAACUCUUAGUUACUGGCAUAGAGACCACAAAUGUGUGCAAAUCUGGAAGCAGAAUCAUGGGCUUUUGUCCUUACUUUGGCAAGGACCCAAGAGAAGGCUUGCCAGGGAGGUCAGGCUGACCUUUUGUCACUCUUAGCCUUCCUUUUGGCCUCAGAAUCACUAUUAGAGGCAAGAGAGGCCUGGUAGUGCCUGUAGAGAUGCUUUUUUGAUGAGCUCGUACCUAGCUGUGGUGGUGUGUCCAUUGUGACUUAGACUCGGCGUGCAGCCACUUGUACGCGUGUUGUGUCUUCAGGCCCUGCAGAGCCCUCCC